GAAGACCAUGUUGGAGCAGGUGUGCUGGCAGGACUUGCAAGCCCACGGUGGAUGGGCUUGCAAGUCCUGCUACACUGGAGCAGCCUGUUCUGAAGAAUCGCAUCCCAUGGGAGGAACCCACACUAGAGCAGAUGAUGAAGAACUGCAGCACAUGGGAAAGACAAAUGCUGGAAACGUUUCUGGAGGACUGUCUCCUGUGGUAGAGAUCCCACACUGGAGCAGUGGAAGAAUCCUUCCAUCUCUCCCUGUCCUUAUCUCAACCAAUGAGCCUUUCUUAUAUUUUCUUUCCCCUGUCCAGCUGAGGAGGUGAUUGGUAGUUGCUUUGGUGGGCAUUUGGUGCCCAGCCAGGAUCAUAGCACCACAAGGAGUUGCUGGGACUGUAUCUUAAAAUCAGAAAUGUUGACUGGAAGAGCUCUGGCAGUUCUGUAAUUUAGCUUCCCAUGUGAAGAAGAAUUUUCAUGAGUUCUACCCCAGGACAGCCAUGACGACUAAGAGUUUCCAUUACAAAUACUGAAAAAGAAGAUUUAUGAGCCAAUCAGUUUUAUAUUGGUAAAAUACAUCUGCUUUUAUAAAAGUGAAAUUUAUUGACUAAAAUUAAAACAUAUUUUGCAGAACUUUCA